CCUCUCAUGGUGUAGGGGUUACGCACCCUAUCUUGUAAACAGGGAGUCUUGAGUUCGAUUCUCACCGAGAAGA
rnacentral:tRNA from 1 species